rnacentral:rRNA from 1 species
AAGUCGAACGCUUCUUUCCUCCCGAGUGCUUGCACUCAAUUGGAAAGAGGAGUGGCGGACGGGUGAGUAACACGUGGGUAACCUACCCAUCAGAGGGGGAUAACACUUGGAAACAGGUGCUAAUACCGCAUAACAGUUUAUGCCGCAUGGCAUAAGAGUGAAAGGCGCUUUCGGGUGUCGCUGAUGGAUGGACCCGCGGUGCAUUAGCUAGUUGGUGAGGUAACGGCUCACCAAGGCCACGAUGCAUAGCCGACCUGAGAGGGUGAUCGGCCACACUGGGACUGAGACACGGCCCAGACUCCUACGGGAGGCAGCAGUAGGGAAUCUUCGGCAAUGGACGAAAGUCUGACCGAGCAACGCCGCGUGAGUGAAGAAGGUUUUCGGAUCGUAAAACUCUGUUGUUAGAGAAGAACAAGGACGUUAGUAACUGAACGUCCCCUGACGGUAUCUAACCAGAAAGCCACGGCUAACUACGUGCCAGCAGCCGCGGUAAUACGUAGGUGGCAAGCGUUGUCCGGAUUUAUUGGGCGUAAAGCGAGCGCAGGCGGUUUCUUAAGUCUGAUGUGAAAGCCCCCGGCUCAACCGGGGAGGGUCAUUGGAAACUGGGAGACUUGAGUGCAGAAGAGGAGAGUGGAAUUCCAUGUGUAGCGGUGAAAUGCGUAGAUAUAUGGAGGAACACCAGUGGCGAAGG